rnacentral:tRNA from 1 species
CUGCUUGAAGUGUUGUAUUUGCACGCCGGUUUUUCACACCGGACGAACAUCGAAUUGGUGUCUAGCGGG